rnacentral:misc_RNA from 1 species
GAUGAAGAACGUAGCGAAAUGCGAUAAGUAAUGUGAAUUGCAGAAUUCAGUGAAUCAUCGAAUCUUUGAACGCACCUUGCGCUCUUUGGUAUUCCGAAGAGCAUGCCUGUUUGAGUGUCAUGAAAAUAUCAACCUUGACUUGGGUUUUGUGCUCUAGUCUCGGCUUGGAAUUGGGUGCUUGCCGCUUUUACGAGCGGCUCACCUUAAAUGUAUUAGCUGGAUCUGCCUUUGAGACUUGGUUUGACUUGGCGUAAUAAAUAUUUCGCUAAGGACAUUCUUCGGAGUGGCCUCGUUUCUAGGACGCUUGUCCGCUUUCCAAUACAAGUUCCACCUCGUGGACAUGACUUUUUAUUAUCUGGCCUCAAAGCAGGUAGGACUACCCGCUGAACUUAAGCAUAUCAAUAAGCGGAGGA